rfam:Acidipropionibacterium acidipropionici ATCC 4875 chromosome, complete genome.
GGGGAUGACUGGUUUCGACUUGGGACGGUGUUUCCAGGAGAAGCGGGCCGAGAAUCCAGGGUUAUCUCGUUAACGACCCCUGGGAACCAAUAAGUGCCGAUAACAAGCGCACUGACUUCGCUCUCGCUGCCUGAUCAGUGAUCGAAGGGUCAGCCCGGACGUAGCCUUCCGUCCGGAAUCUGGCCUAAUCUGAAGGCUUGCUGCGUGGUGAUGGUCACGGGAACCACGCGGGACUUUACCGUGACUGGGCUUGUUCGCACCGUGUCGGUGAGAGUGUGAGAGCCGAGUAGAACGACAGCAUCGACUGCGCCCGGAGAAUGUCUGGUUCGCCUUUCAAGGACGCGGGUUCAAUUCCCGCCAUCUCCACCC